UCCUGUCCUUAAGGAACUUUCCCAUCCCGAAAAAAAAAAAGAUACGUACAUUCACUAUAAAAAAAAACCCAAAAAAAUCAGAGAAAACACAGAGAAAACUAGAGAGAAAAAGAAAGCAUAAAUCAAGAAAAAGAAGAAGACAAAAAUGAAAGAUCAGUCAAAAACAGAAAAGAAGAAACUUGGAGUUGGAUUUCUUGUCGAAGUUUCCAAUGACAAACAUUUGAAUUUUUACAUUAAUCCAUUAACAGGUUUUAUUUCAAAUUUGAAUUACUCAUUGUAUGAAAUUUUUAGUGAAUGAAAUUAUUAUCAAAUUUAUGUUAAUGAUUGAUGAUAUGUGAUGUUAUUUAUUUAGAAUACUGAAUUAUAAAAAAUAAUAUACAGACCAUAAAGCACACAUCAUACACUCACAGUCACAUUUUGUACAAAUAAAAAAUGUUGUGCGCACACAAAAAAUGAAAACCAGUGAAAAAGAGAUCAGAAAAUAGGGGAGUGAAUGGAAAAUGUUUAAUUUUCUUGAAUCUUUUGGCGAAUACACACCGGAAACCAUUAAAAUCGGCAACCACUGGCCAGCGUAUAAUACGGCUAAACCGCUGCUAACCUACAGGCCUUCUUCUAUCUCUUUCCAUUUUUAUCCUUUCUCUCUGUCAUUAACCAACCAACAUUAACAAAGCAAUUAGCGCCGCCAACCUCCAAAUCUUCCUUUUUUCUUUGAUUUUUAACCAGAUCUGUCGACCACCCCAUCGCCGCCGUCCGUUCCCUCUCCCUUUAGUUGCGCUGGCGUCAUCUUCCUUCUCUCCUUUUCUGUCGUCCCUCCUUUGUCUCCAUCUUACAAAUGGAGAACCAAUUAUGACGCCACCCUCUUUCCUCUCUUUUCCGUCGCGUCAUACCAGAAAUAAUCACCGGCGGCUCGAGUUUCAACAAAUAUCACCACUCCGGCAAACCCAUCACUGCCAUCGUAAAUCCCUUCGAAUUUCAUCGAUAGACCAUCAAACCCAUCGGAUUGUCGCGUCGUUAUUCUUUCUUUCUCUUUCUUCCUUUGUUGUCGUGUUUUGGGGUAUUUGUUAAAUAGAAUUGUGAACUUUUUGUUUUAAUUUAAAUUGUAAAACAAUAAAUACUGAUUAGAGUCUAUUUUUCUUUUACCACAUUUUAUUAUUAUUAAUUUUACAUAUUAGACCAUACUUAUUAUUUUUUAAUGUGUCAGGGAUUGCUUUACUUAUUGUUGAAAUUACUAUUAUGAGAAUAACCAAUUUUUUUUUUAUAGUAUGAAAUCAUCUUAAAAAAUGCAGGCUUAAUUUACUUCAGAAAAGUUAAGGAAAAACUAUCUUAAAUUUGUUGUUUUAUUUCAAUUCAUUAUUUUUAUUUAAAAAUUUGAAUUAAUUAUUUUUUUGGUAGUGGCAUGUUUUUUUUUACCAUCGAGUUAAAUAUGAAUUAAUCCCAAACCCAUUUAAUGAUAAAAAAUAAAAGAAUGAAUUUAGAUGUUCCGAAUUUGUAAAAGAUAAAUCACGCCUCUAAUGUUAGGAAAAUUUUAGAUAAUGUUUAAAAUUUUAUCUCGAUUAAGAAUGCGGCAUACGUAUCUUUCUGAGAUAUUUAAAAAUUCAAGGAUGCGAUAACGCACCUUGAAUUAUAUUUUCUAAGUUAACUCGCAUCAAUUUAUUUUAUAUAAGAAGACUAAACAAGUGUUAAUAUAUUAAAAAUGAGCGAAACAAGGCCUUAAAACAUAAUUUAUACAAAAUACUUAAAGCUAAGUAUAAGUCAAUAAGAGCGACCGUGCUAGAACCACGGGACUCAAGGGAUGCCCCAUACCUUUCCCUCGGUCAAUAGAAUUUCUUAUCCAGUCUUCUGUUUUUGCAGACCAAUAAAAUAGUCAAUUCCUUUUGAUUAGGGAUUCAAUAAGGUGACUUGAAAUACCAUAACUCAAUUCCAAGUGAUGACUCGGUAAAUAAAUUAAUCACUAUUCAAUAUCAUCACUUUAAUUGGAAAAACCCUUCGACCUUCACCUUCGAAGCCUCGAGUGAAAAAGGGGUAUGACAAAUGCCUCAUAUAAAUAGGUAAAUCAUUGCUUAUGAGAAUAAAGACAAAAAGUAUUGGUCUAAAAUAUAUAUUGCAUACAAUAGCACUUGUGUGCAUUAGACUAAUAAAUUAUGAUCAAUUCUUCCUUCUCAAUUAGUCCAGGGUCAAGAACCAUAUAUUUUUCAUCUAAUAGUAUUUUGACAUGCGGUAUGUAAUUAAUAGAUAUACCAUGAUUGACAAAAAUGGAUUCUCUAAAAUAGAUUGGAGUAUAUGUUAGUUUUCCUAACAUAAGGGGUAGAUAAUAAGCAUCUAAGAAAUCUAAUGUGAAUUAUCGUUAGUAUGAUCCUCAUUUAAAAGAUAAUUCUAGUCAAAUGUUAGAAGCAUUUACUAACCCAAAAUUGAUUUUAUAUUUAGCUGCAGAUGCUCCUACUAUAUGUCCCUGAAGGACAGAGUCUAUAGCAUACAUGAAGCAUGGUAGAUCAAUCAGUUCCAAAUAAAAUAAUUUUUUUAAAAAAAUGGAGCAAAUGAUCAUAAUAAAGAGGCAAUAUGCUCUUGAAGAGCAACGACAUAACACUUCGUGAACCCUCCAGAAGAGGUUCAGCUACCUGAAAAUAAUGAUGUGAUGAGAUCUCAAUAAUUAUGUCGUAAUAUGAACCGAUAGAAAUGAUAUCUCAUCGAUGAUAUCUUUUGUACAAUAGCG
rnacentral:lncRNA from 1 species